UACGUAGGUGGCAAGCGUUAUCCGGAAUUAUUGGGCGUAAAGCGCGCGCAGGCGGUUUCUUAAGUCUGAUGUGAAAGCCCACGGCUCAACCGUGGAGGGUCAUUGGAAACUGGGGGACUUGAGUGCAGAAGAGGAAAGCGGAAUUCCACGUGUAGCGGUGAAAUGCGUAGAGAUGUGGAGGAACACCAGUGGCGAAGGCGGCUUUUGCUGGUACUGACUGACUGACGGCUGAGGCGAAG
rnacentral:rRNA from 1 species